CUGUGAGAGGUGUGGAUGGGUGGGGCAGGUACAGCAUCUGCAGAAAGAGUAUAAAACAGGGCUGCAGAGGGCAGAGAGACACCACACUACUACUGACGUCCAGAAGACAUCAUCCAGAUAAACAGCCAUCAAUCAGAAAGCAUCGUCCAGCUGAAAGAGUAAAGGAUGAAGAUCCAGAGUAUGUUACUGCUGUUCGCUCUAGUGGGUGUCCUGUUAGCAAGCUCCCUCAAUAAAGAUAACUCUGAGGAAGCUCUCCUGCAGGAGGAUGAUGCAAAAAAUGGAAUGGCUGCCUUUUUGGCAAAGUUGGCUACUCUGAAGACCAGCCCCUCUGAAGAUGAAGCAGCAUUUUGGGGCGCGCUUUGGAACGUAGCCAAGGAACUUGUUGGGUGAGAAGCGACCAGCAUGGGGAUGCCAAGGAUCCUUUUCAGUCUCCAUAUGGAAUCAGCUAUCACCUCUGAAGUCAUCACUAACAUUACCUCAGUGAAUCAUUCCAACAACCAUCAAUCAAUGAUUGUCAAAAAACAACAACAGUAAUACAGUUAAUUGGUACUUUGGUUCUGAGAAGAACUCAUCAACAUUCUGAAGAAUAUAUGUUUUAUCCAUGAACAUGUACUUUAUGUCCUGACACAUGAUAGUUGAUUGGUCAAGUUAGUGGAUAAAUAAUUGUAUGGUUGUAUGGUUGACUUGUCAUAUUGUGAUCCUCCAAUAAACUAUCAAGCAUAA